GUUAUUAUUUGUAUUUUAGGUGCAAAUUGAAGAAUUGGCAACUUUUGGGGUGAAAACUGCAAUUUCGGAGAAAAAGUGGGCCAAAAGUGAAAAAAGCAGAAUUUUAGUUCUCAAUCUCACACGGCCGUCCGGGUGGACGUGAAGGCGCAGUGAAGGAAGUUUAAUUACACAAGGAAACCCGCCCUAUUAUAUUUUUUGCACCCUAUUUAAAGGCCACAAGCACACAAUUAGACCUAUCU
rnacentral:lncRNA from 1 species